rnacentral:rRNA from 1 species
AACCUCCGCAAUGUGAGAAAUCGCGACGGGGGGAUCCCAAGUGCCAUUCUUAACGGGAUGGCUUUUCAUUAGUGUAAAGAGCUUUUGGAAUAAGAGCUGGGCAAGACCGGUGCCAGCCGCCGCGGUAACACCGGCAGCUCUAGUGGUAACAAUUUUUAUUGGGCCUAAAGCGUCCGUAGCCGGUUUAAUAAGUCUCUGGUGAAAUCCUGUAGCUUAACUGUGGGAAUUGUUGGAGAUACUAUUAGACUUGAGACCGGGAGAGGUUAGAGGUACUCCCAGGGUAGAGGUGAAAUUCUGUAAUCCUGGGAGGACCGCCUGUUGCGAAGGCGUCUAACUGGAACGGUUCUGACGGUGAGGGACGAAAGUUAGGGGCGCGAACCGGAUUAGAUACCCGGGUAGUCCUAACUGUAAACGAUGCGGACUUGGUGUUGGGGUGGCUUUGAGCUGCUUCAGUGCCGAAGGGAAGCUGUUAAGUCCGCUGCCUGGGAAGUACGGUCGCAAGACUGAAACUUAAAGGAAUG